UUUUUUUUUUUCAUUUGAAUGUAGACAUCUGGCAUCCUAUAAAUAAAAUAGAAAAUGUAAAUAUUGUAAAACCCAUUAGAGAGUGGUUUUAGGUUUGGUGAGAGCGCGGGUCCGCUGCUGCCCCACUGCACUGAGCUGGGAAACCGUCACCCCCCACACACACACGCAGGCCCUCGGCUUGCCGCCCAUCACCCCUGUCACCCUUGUCACCCAGGCGGCCAGGCUGCGUUCCACUGGAUGAAUAAACUUGAAACCAGGGGCCAGUUUUCUCCUAUUGACUGUGUUAACAGUGUUGACGAGCUACCUAAAAACGUCACUGCUUUCAUUUUAUGCCACGGGGGGAAAACGCUUUGUGAAGGGAAAUCGCCGACGUUUCUGCCGUAGGAAAGAUCCCGUGUGCCCCCACUGAAGCGCGAGACGUGCCCCAGCGGCUCUCCAAGACCACGUUUAAAACGCUCCUCAAAAGACAUUUUCUGUUCGAGACAUAUUAAACAAGCUUUAUUUAAUAAUGCUCGAGUUGACUUAUCCCGUCUAAAUAUUUGCUCCGAUCAGCAACCAUUCGAUCCCGGCUUCGUUCCUGGCUGCAGACUAAUUUCUCCGGGUUAUUUUUCUUUGGUGCAAGGUCGAUCCCAGAGGCAGGGAAACUGCUCUCGGGUUCCCUCCUUUUCUCUACUCGGCGCUGCGGGUGGAACGCUGUAAAAAGCCUGAACCAGAGGCCGCGCUGAUAAAGUCUAUGUCGCUUGUUCUCCCAUCUGGCUGGCUGAAGGCAGAAAAUGUCAUUUCAAAGACUUCUCCUAAUCAGAUAAUUAUAAGGAGAGAUUUCUCCUUUUUAAGAAGAGCAUCGGAAUCUAAAGAAAUUCCCAAGGAGGUGAUCUUUUUCGGGCGCGUUUCGCCGUCUGCCUUCCCCCAUUCGGGGUUUUUUGUGACAAUCGCUUGCACGAAACACACGCUCCCCCCCCCAUUAGGCGUGCAAGAGGCUAGGACGGCGCGCAGAAACAGAGUCGUUUAAUGUCUUAAUUCACUAUGUUCUCAAGUUGGGAAUGACACUUUGGUUUCUGCUAACUUUGGGGACACUCCGUGCAGGUCUUCUGGUUACUGUCACUGCUCCUGUGAAGAUUUUAUCACCAGUGUCUAAAAAAUAAAGCCUUUUCUUUUCUUCUCCUUUUUAGGUUUAUCUUUGCGUGGGCGCCUUCAAAAACAGCCACCUUGAAGCCACGGGUCCCGGUCACCUCUCUAGGUGUCACGAAGCAUUCACAAGGACACAGACCUCUGGCAGCUACUCCAGACGGCCGCCCAGGGUAACGUCAGACUUGCUGGGGUGAGUCCGAACGCGGGUCCUGCCAGAGCAGAAACCGGGCAAGGAUGUCCUCUCUCGACGCCCCCGUCACAUCCCCCUGGAAGCCCUUGCCGCGGGAUCAGUUUGGCUACCAGGAUCUUAAAAUCACCUACGUGGCUUGCAUUAUGCCUCGGGGGACAGCCGUGGUCCCCGUGGACCCCCAUUCCAGCACAGCCUAUCAAAAACAGCUCUCUUCCCCGGCUUACCUUUGCACCGUGGUCAGGAAUCGGACCAUGUGUGUGCGGCUCCCUGGACCAUUCCACGGCCACACCACCCAUUGAAGUCGAGGCCACGUAAGUCUUCCAAUUUUAUCCUUGCUUUCCAAAUGUGUUUUUGUUAUCUUAAGUUCUUUCCAUUUCUGUGUUAAUUUUCAAGUCCGCUUCUAAGGUUUUGUUGUUGUUGUUAAAGCCUGUUGAGAUUUAUUAAAAUUACAUGAAAUCUAUCGGCCCACUUGAGGAAGGCCGACAUCUUAGAAACAGUGAAUCCUCUGAGCCAAAGAUUCCGUUUUAAGCGGCAAUCCCUAACGGUCUGACUUACCCCUAAACAGGUUUUGUGGCUUUGAUAUUAUUCCACGUGGUGCUUUUAGAUUUUUACUUUCCAUCAUCGACUCUAGAAACACAACUGAAUUUCUUACAAAGUAACCCAGAAGGUUGCUCUCCCACCGCAUGUGCUUGCCGCUUCCAGUAGUGUUUUCGUAAGCUCCUUCGGAUUUUUAUGUUCACAAGCGUGCUGCUUAUGAAGAAAGACGUUUUCUUCCAUCUUUCCAAUCGCUCUUUGCUUGUGGGGCCUUCUCACGCCAGCUGCGUCCGCAACGCAGACAGCAGUGAGGGACGCGGUGGCGGGCGGCUCUUCCUUGGCGCUGGGCUCUGGGGCACGGUCAGCCUGUGCUGCCCAUUUGUGCACGAGCCUUUGUCGGGUUCCGGAAAACUUCCUCAUUUCCAGUAUACUGAGAGUUUGCUGAGAGUUUGAAUUCUUGCCAUGUGUUUUCUGGUUGUACCAAGACGGCCGUAUGGUUUUUCUCCCUCAUUCUGUUAGUGUGGGUAUCCUCGUAUGUUUGGCUGGCUCCGGUCCCCCGGGGUAGGUGCUGGAGUCUAGUACCCUCGGUACCGGGUGCAUCGCAGGUACCGUGUGACCGAGGGAGGCUGAGCUCUGCCAUGACACGUCACCUUCAAGCCCAACCACACAGGCGUCAGCCAAGGGCAGAGAGACACGGCCCUAUCCCUCCAGAGCGCUCUCCUGCGUGCUAGGCAGGGAAGGUCCCCAGGGCGCCUGGAGCCAUCUGGAGGCCUAGCCACUUCCCACAUCAGCAUCCGUCCGUCCUCUGUAGCGCUGCAGGGAAAGGGGCCCACGCGGAGCCAUGACCGUGGAGGUCCGUCGGCACAGCUGACCACAGGAGCGUCAGACCCCGCCUGUCAUCAGGUUCGCUUAAUCCCCAGAAAACACUGUAAUCCAUGGCAUCCUCUGCAGGACCAAGGACAGAAAGCAUGAUUUAUUGCUGCUGAAGUACAUCCUUUCGUUCUUGCUCACUGCCUUGGGGAGCAGUUCCUCAAAAUGUCAGCAGCUGGCUCAGGAGGAGAGGAAACGGGCAGAGCCAGGAGGACGGAGAGGGCCAGCACAGGCGCCCUGGUCCCGAGGACCUCCGCCCGGGACUGCUGCGGGCCACCCCAGGCCAGGGAGACAUCUGGCCCCGAAGGCCUUGCAAGGGGGCUUGGACCCGCAGGAGGAGCGCAGGUCACCCCGCUUCCCGCCUGCCAGGGCCCAGCUGACCAGCUUUAUUAGAACCGGCUGCUUGUGAGUUUCCUAGAGACAAAAGGGGCUGAUCUCAGCUGCCUCGCCUGGAGCACAGGACGCGCCAGCACGAGAGCCUUCACCUUGGGCCUGGAGCCUGUCUGGUACCACCUCCCCGAUCCUCUCAAAUGGCCAAGAGGCCCGUUCUCCUGGGAGCCCUGUAGAGGCGGGAAACCAAGGCACAGAGUGAGCCCGACGGCUGGAGUCAGGCUGGUGCUCCGCAGGCCUGGCCCUCAUGGGGUGGCCGCUGGGGCUCUUGUCCCCACUUCUGCCUGGGAACGUAAGGGCCCUGAGGGUACCGCACCCCGCCACCCUCCGCAGCUGGACGAGACUGGCCAGGAGAGCCUGUUCUCUGUGGUGACUCCUUGCCUUUCGGGGUGGUGCACCCCCCUGGGAAGAGUGAGCUCCUGCUGCUGUGAGCUGCACGCCGGCUACCUGCUGGAAUGCGGCUGCUGGCUUCUGAGCGUCCCCCGUUUGGUCCCAGCAGCCAUCCUUGUCUGCAGAGCACAGCUGAGGACAGGGACCCGCACUGCCAGGGGCACAGACAGCCCCGUUACCUCCCGUGGGGCGCACACACACACGGCCCCCAGAGCAGCACAGGGACACCAAGAUGUGUCCGGUCACUGCUCCUGACUACACUGUGAGCCCCGUGAGGGCGGGACCUGCUACUGCCGUAUUCCCGGCCUGUCUCCCUCACGCGGCCGGACUCAGGGAACACCUGUCGUAGGAAUGAAUGAGUAACCAGAGUUGCCUUCAUGAAGCACCUGCUCGUGGUGGGGGCCGGGGCUCCAGACCCGCCUGGGUAAGGGUGCCGCCUCCUCACAACGUGGGGGCUGCUGCGGGGCCCCUGUCCAUGGGGUUGCGAGCUAUCCUGGCAGGUGGGGGCCGGGCUGAGUCACCCAGAAGACGCAAUGGCUCACCUGUCUGCCUCCUGGGCCCGGAAGACCAAUCGUCAGGAUGGGAGUCCCUGGGGCGCACAGGCUCCCCCUCCCCAAAAGUCUUCACAUGGGGCCUUGGUAAGGCAUCAGGGUAGCCAGAUUCUCAGGGGGUGCUGAAGGCUUCCAGAACUCGGAUUCUGGGGGAAGGUGGCAGGGCCCAUGUUGCCUCUUGCAGCCGAGCCUCGGGUCGCGCAGCCUGGCUUCCUGCCUUCUGAGAGUGGCCUGGCCAGGUUCGAGGGCCGGAGACAGAGAUCCUGCCACCAGAGGGGAGGAGGGUCAGGCAGCGCGUGGGCAUAUUUAAAUCGACCACAGAUGAGGAUUCCUAUCGUCUCCAUUUCACGGAUGACACAGCUGAGGCACAGAGAAGUCAAGUGGGUGGCCCAGGGUCACACAGCUGGUUAGCGGAGGAGCCUGGAUCUGAGCCCAGAGUCAUGACCCCCUCCCUGUGUUACAGUUCCGGGGUUCCUGUUACUCUGACCCUCCUGCCUGGAUCCCAGCGCAAAAUCCUUCUAGUUAGAGCAGGAAGUUACAUUCUCUGUCCCAAGGAACCAGUAUUUUCUAAGCUCCCGGGGGCCCCAGGUUAACCCAUGAUGAUGCCAAGGAGGACACAGUCCCUGCCCUUGGGGAGCUCCAGGCCAUCCCCACAACGGCAGCCCACGAGCUCUCAGACCACGGGAUGGCUGGCUGCAGGGCAGAGGGGGACGGGGCUGCUGGCACCGGGGGAUCCGACGGGGCUUCACCGUGGAGACAUGAAAUCUGAUAGACUCAGGUUGGGGCUCAUCAAGCUGAGCUCAGCAUGGCUGACAUCUGGGGCCAGAUACUCUUUGUCAUGGGGACCGUCCUGUGCCCCAUCACUGUGGAGCCACACCCCUAGCUUUGACCUGUAGGCUCCACACCGCCAAUUUCUGACAAUGAGCAAUGUCUCCAGAUAGCUGCAAACGCCCCCUGGAAGCAGAAUUACCCCUCGUAGGGAAACACUGGCUUUGAGGAAGGAGCAGGAAGUUUUCCGGGUGGAAGAAGCAGGUUCCAUGUGGGGCUGAGAGGUAGGCUGCAGGGCAAGCUAUGAAAGUGGACAGAGAAGCUUCAGCUAGCCUGGAGAGCCUUGCCUAGCUCGUGGGGAAAUUUGGACUUGGUCCUGUAGGCAGCGGGGAGCCGUGGAAGGUUAUUAAGCAAGGAGUGACAUGAAAGGCUUGCUGCUUAGAAAGAUCACCAUUAGUGGUGUGGAGGUGUGGAGAGUGGCUUGGAGGCUACUGCACUGAUCCAAGCAAGAGGAGACACGCACGUACACACACAAGUAGGAGUGUCGCCAGGCGAGAUGUGUGACGUGCUCCAGGAAUUUGGGGUGAGGGGAUGCUGAAGACAGGAGUACCUGCCCGUGGGUGCUCUGUGGGCACCUUGAAGAGGGCAGCCAGGAGGGAGGGGGCAUCGCUCCCUGCUGGGAUGCAGCAGCGCUGCGAGUGAAGCUGGCCACGGGGGGGUCCACCUUCCAGACGCCCUGCUGAAGGACCCAGGCAGGGCUCUGAGGCCGCAUGCCGGGAAGGACACACUCACACGUGGUUCAGGAGGGCGUGUUAGAGGACGGUGUGCAAGCGGACCGUGCGUGCACGUGCCUGUCAGGGACCCCCGGAUGCCGCUCCCCGCCCCGGUGUUUACAGGUGUCUCACCCCAGAGGGCCUUGCAGGUGCCCAGAGAACAGGCCAAGAGCUGCCCUGCCCAGGGGCCACCCCAUCAGCCACAACAAGCCCAGGAUUUAGAGUAGGCGUAAGUCCCAACAUGGGAAGCCUGAUUUCAUGUGGCCAGUCGUGGGAAUGUGGGUGAGUGCAGGUGACACGGGCGCAGUGUGGGGGCAUCUUCCGUGGCCCCUUCCACCGUCGCUCCACUCCUGUCCGCCCCUCGCCCCAGUCGGGCCGUGAGGUCCCGGGGCACACACCCAGGAACAGGCGGGGGCUCCGCGGCGGCACGCCCCACAUGCCUUGCUCUGUGCCUGGCACGGAAACGGGGCUCGAAGGAGAUGCGUGAUUCCAAGCUGCCGCCGCGCCCGUUAGACAAGUCCUGGAACUGUUCCAUGAACACACCUUUAAGAGACUGGCUCCUUCCGCUGAGCUAUGCGAACAGUCAGCACCUUUUUAUCCGAAGAGAGAACUCUCCGCCUUUUUAUCUGACUUGUGGAGACUCCGCAGGGCCUGAGAUUCAAGCAAAGGGCCCACACAGACGGCGGGAGAGAAGGGACAGCCCCCAGCGCGGCCCGAUGGGGCUGGAGGAGAAGCGCUGUCCCCCAGGUCGGAGCCGUCCCGGGGUUGACCUGCGCACAAGCAAACGUGGGCUGAGCCUUUGCUGCUGUUUCCUCCUGCGCAUCUGUCUGCUCUGACGGGCAGUGUUCCCUGGCGGCCAGGUGCAUGGUGGGUGGUGCCACAGGGCUGCCCCUGCAGCCGGGCUCGGCUAAGCGUGGGGGUCUCCCUGCAGCCCACAGCCCGGCACACAGAGGGGCUCCCUCCGCAGGACCAGGCGCCAGCCCCUCGGGCUCUCAGAUGCACGGGGGCAUGUGAUGUUUUCUCUAUCCCCAUUUUACAGCUGAGGACACGAAGGCACAGAGAGGUUGCUGUCUCACCCAAGGUCACCCAGCUGAUGAGCAGCAGGCUGGUCGCGAGUGCCUCCAGCUAGGACACCACAGAGACUCCCCCAGUUUCGGUACCCACCAGUACCUGCGGAGCAAACAGGGACACGGCAGGGCGUGACGGUCCCGGUGGCCAGGGCGCUGCCCGUCCUCACCACCAUCAUCACCGGAGCCCAGCUUGAGGGGGCAAGGCUGACAGACAGCGGGGGACGGCAGCAGGCUCCCCAGAUGCCCCGGCCAGGCCCGUCUGCUCCAUGCCGAGCUUUCGUGGGCCGACGUGGUCCUCCCUGAGCCUGGUCACGUGGCGAAGUCCCCUGGGCACCCCCCCACCCCUCCCUCCUGGGGAUCUGAGGCCUCCUCCCUCAGGGGUCCUAGGUCUCUUCCCACACAGAGCCUAGACUGGCUGUCCAGCGUCAUCCCUGGCCUCCAGGGGCCUGAAGGUCAAGGCGAUGCCGAGAUCAAGAGCACGGGCUUGUGGGCCGUAGACAGGCUUCCCGACAUCUUCUUCCCUGUCAGGAUCGUGGGGACAGGAACAGACCGACCUCCUAGUCAUCAUUUCCUUUCUCAGAACCAGCGGCGCCCACGUUCAGCUCGAGGUCUGAGAGGCUCCCGUGUAUGAGGUCACGCAUGACCCCGUUGGCCGGGUCUGGGCAGAGCAAAGUUUCCAUCAGAGCCACACAAGCCACUGUAGGACCCACAGCUCACAGGGAGGAGAGGGCCACCCACCUGCCAGGCAUGCCCGGGGCAGCAUCGACACAGGGUCACGGCUGCGGGCGUGCGGGGCGUGGCCAUGCGCGAGAAGGUUUGGAGACUCGUCCGCACUGCUGUCGGUUCUCCAGUUCUCUGCUGCCGGCCGUGACCCACUGUCUGAACGCCCCGCCGCCGGCGUGUCCGUCCACCAGCGUGGGACAGCACUUCCUUCCAGUGUGGGGGUCUCAUCGGCUAAGCCACCGGGCACCUUUUCAUACAGGUCUCUCGGGCACAUGCCCAGGAGGGUAAUGACUGAAUCGGCUUAGGUCCCCCCGGCAGCGUCCGAGGGCUCUAGCCUCCUGCACCGUCGCCGACCCUUGACAUUCUGGUGGGUGAGCUGGAUCCCCCGGUGACUUGAACUCAGUUUCCUCUGGUGCGUGCCGAUGCUUGGAGGAGGCCGUGUGUUUCCUGGCCAGCGUGUGUCUUCUUUGCGGAAGUGCACUUGUGGGCCCUGAUGCCACGCUCAUUGUCGCUCUCUGUUUCCCUGAUUUGGGGGAGCUCCUUGUGCACCCUAGAUGGGGUCCUUUAUCGGAUAUGUGUACUUAGAAUGUUUUCUCCCAGUCUGGGGCUCGCCUUUUCACUUUCUUGAUGGUGUCUUUUGGUAAACAGGGGUGUUUUAUUUUGA